AUGAAUGCUUCUCAAUGCAUAGUGACUGUGAUACUCCUUCUGGGAGGAACCCAUGGAGACUCAGUGACCCAGAUAGAAGAUAAAAUGACCGUGUCAGAAGGGUCUUUCCUGACUAUAAACUGUACUUAUACAGCCACAGGGUACCCUUCUCUGUUCUGGUAUUUUCAGUAUCCUGGAGAAGGUCUACAGCUCCUCUUCAGAGUCUCAAAGGCCAACGAGAAGGGCAGCAACAGAGGUUUUCAGGCCAUGUACAAUAAAGAAGCCACCUCCUUUCACUUGGAGAAAGACUGUGUCCAAGGGUCAGACUCGGCUGUGUACUACUGUGCUCUAAGUGACACAGUGGCAGAAACUGCAGGGGGAGCUGAGCACAAACUCUGA